rnacentral:lncRNA from 1 species
AAUUAAUUUACAAUAAUAAUAACUCAACUAACACGAAAAACCGCCCGAACGCGCGAAUUAAUCUACGCCUUUUGCUCUGACACCCAAGGGAGACGGCCGAGCCGCUGCUCCUGGUUUACGAUGGCAACACUCGCUGCCGCGCUCUUUGAAAGAGUUUCCGCUUACAAUUUGCAUAAAAUUUGGUAGAAGAAGAGUCCAGACAGCUGGAUGGCGUUAAUAAGCGGGAGUCCAAUAUGAGUAUGGGUGAGUGGAGUGCGAGUAAUGGGAGAUGGGAGCUGGGAGGCUUACCUGUUGCCAGAGAGAGCAAAUGAAGCUGCCUGUGGUGCUCUCCGGCGGCUGCUGUUGUAAAUGGAUCGCCUUGUGGAAUCCGUUAAUUGUGUGUAAUUAAAUCCAACGGUAAAACAAAUGACAAACACUUUGUCGACAGACAGCUGAAGGGGGGGAUGUGGAAUGUUCUGUGGUUUCUUUGAGGUUGGCAGGGCCUCAACCCUUUUUCCUCGUCUCCUGUUCCUUGCCGCGUCUUGUCUUAAUUAUAUAGCGUGAAUAAUUUUCGCUCUUUGCGUGGGUUCCAUUCACGAGUCAUUGAUAUUUAAAAUUUAUAUAUUUUCCUUUUGGGGUUGAGGAUUGUCUUUCCCUUUAGCUUUAAUUAGUGAAAAUUAUGAGGCGGUUGUGGGACACUGGAGUCUACUUCCUGUCUUUGGGUUUAUCCUGCUCUGAUAUCAUCAAAUGUGAAUUUGAAUUUAUUUUUAUUAAUGGUACAUAUGUCUCUACCUCUAACAAACCUCUUCUCUUACAUUUCUAAACCUCUGACUGAGGCACGGACUUCAAAUCUUCUUCAUUUACAAAGCAACAUUGCAUUAGCAGUGACAACCACAAAGCGCAAACUGAGCGCGUUUAUUUGAAUUUGUGGCAGGAAUUUUCUAGCAGUAGAUCUACUAUCUUUUUGUCUGUUUCUUGCGGUGCCUGCCACUUACGCAAAAACGAUUCAAAAGUGCUAGCACAGAGAAAUAGAAAAAAGAGAGAGAGAGAGAGAUGUGGAAAAGGAAAUAAUCAUUUUUACUUCCAUUCAUUGUUGCAAUUGGUCUGGCCAAAAUGUUUUCGUUGAUUGUUGGAUGAAACCACUAACCGAACAACCGAACCCCAGCAAUUGUUUCUAUUGUUUGUCUGUUUACCUGUUUGGCCUGCGUGGGUGUUGUGUUGCCAUUGAUUGCGUUCAGAAGUUGAGAGUUUGGAAAUUUGCAUUUAAUUUGAUUGAGCCCACUGAUUGACUGGCUGGCUGCCUUGCUCCAAAAUGUUUACAAGUCAAGGAAGGAGCUAAUGAGUGAACAACAAUCCAAAACCGAUGUGGUUCCGAGAUUUAGCUCAGCUUUUGUGUAUUGUUGGUGUAAUUUUCGAGAGUAUUGUUGAUUUAAUUGUUGGUGUUUCAAAAGUGCAUAUUGUUGGUGUAGGUUUUGGGAUUGCUUUUACUUACAUUUGUCGGUAUACUUUCUGGUUGUAAAACAUUUAAAACUCUUUAGUGUUAUACUUUUUAUACGUGGUACGAGUUCUUGCCUACUUUUAUUCUCCAUUUUAAUUAGUUAUGUCACAAACUUUAUACUUUUCUUUUUUUUUCUCCCCACGCCUAAUUCGAAAUGUUGUCGCAGAACCGAUUACGUUAUCUCUUGGCCACGAGCAUCCACAGC